rnacentral:rRNA from 1 species
AUUGAACGCUGGCGGCAUGCUUUACACAUGCAAGUCGAACGGUAACAGGUUAAGCUGACGAGUGGCGAACGGGUGAGUAAUGCAUCGGAACAUGCCCGAUCGUGGGGGAUAACGCAGCGAAAGCUGCGCUAAUACCGCAUACGAUCUGAGGAUGAAAGCGGGGGACCGUAAGGCCUCGCGCGAUCGGAGCGGCCGAUGUCAGAUUAGGUAGUUGGUGGGGUCAACGCUCACCAAGCCGACGAUCUGUAGCUGGUCUGAGAGGAUGACCAGCCACACUGGGACUGAGACACGGCCCAGACUCCUACGGGAGGCAGCAGUGGGGAAUUUUGGACAAUGGGCGAAAGCCUGAUCCAGCAAUGCCGCGUGCAGGAAGAAGGCCUUCGGGUUGUAAACUGCUUUUGUACGGAGCGAAAAGGCUCUCUCUAAUACAGGGGGCUCAUGACGGUACCGUAAGAAUAAGCACCGGCUAACUACGUGCCAGCCGCCGCCGUAA